UCGCGGCUUAUCACCGGCAGUCCCCUUAGAGUGCCCAACUGAAUGAUGGCAACUAAGGGCGAGGGUUGCGCUCGUUGCGGGACUUAACCCAACACCUCACGGCACGAGCUGACGACAGCCAUGCAGCACCUGUCUUGGCGUUCCCUUGCGGGCACUUUCCUGUUUCCAGGAAAUUCGCCAGAUGUCAAACCCAGGUAAGGUUCUUCGCGUAGCAUCGAAUUGAACCACAUGCUCCACCGCUUGUGCGGGCCCCCGUCAAUUCCUUUGAGUUAUAACCUUGCGGCCGUACUCCCCAGGCGGGAUGCUUAAUGCGUUAGCUGCGCCACCGACAAGCAAGCUUGCCGACGGCUAGCAUCCAUAGUUUACGGCGUGGACUAC
rnacentral:misc_RNA from 1 species